GCGUUGGCCCAAUUGAUUGAUGGUGCUUGCACCUGAUUGAUUUUGGUCGCCAACGAGUGGCGGACGGGUGAGUAACACGUAGGUAACCUGCCCAGAAGCGGGGGACAACAUUUGGAAACAGAUGCUAAUACCGCAUAACAACGUUGUUCGCAUGAACAACGCUUAAAAGAUGGCUUCUCGCUAUCACUUCUGGAUGGACCUGCGGUGCAUUAGCUUGUUGGUGGGGUAACGGCCUACCAAGGCGAUGAUGCAUAGCCGAGUUGAGAGACUGAUCGGCCACAAUGGGACUGAGACACGGCCCAUACUCCUACGGGAGGCAGCAGUAGGGAAUCUUCCACAAUGGGCGCAAGCCUGAUGGAGCAACACCGCGUGAGUGAAGAAGGGUUUCGGCUCGUAAAGCUCUGUUGUUAAAGAAGAACACGUAUGAGAGUAACUGUUCAUACGUUGACGGUAUUUAACCAGAAAGUCACGGCUAACUACGUGCCAGCAGCCGCGGUAAUACGUAGGUGGCAAGCGUUAUCCGGAUUUAUUGGGCGUAAAGAGAGUGCAGGCGGUUUUCUAAGUCUGAUGUGAAAGCCUUCGGCUUAACCGGAGAAGUGCAUCGGAAACUGGAUAACUUGAGUGCAGAAGAGGGUAGUGGAACUCCAUGUGUAGCGGUGGAAUGCGUAGAUAUAUGGAAGAACACCAGUGGCGAAGGCGGCUACCUGGUCUGCAACUGACGCUGAGACUCGAAAGCAUGGGUAGCGAACAGGAUUAG
rnacentral:rRNA from 1 species